CUGGAGGUAUCAGAAGUGCGAAUGCUGACAUAAGUAACGAUAAAGCGGGUGAAAAGCCCGCUCGCCGGAAGACCAAGGGUUCCUGUCCAACGUUAAUCGGGGCAGGGUGAGUCGACCCCUAAGGCGAGGCCGAAAGGCGUAGUCGAUGGGAAACGGGUUAAUAUUCCCGUACUUGGUGUUACUGCGAAGGGGGGACGGAGAAGGCUAUGUUGGCCGGGCGACGGUUGUCCCGGUUUAAGCGUGUAGGUGUGUGUUCCAGGUAAAUCCGGUUCACUUUAACACUGAGGCGUGAUGACGAGGCACUACGGUGCUGAAGCAACAAAUGCCCUGCUUCCAGGAAAAGCCUCUAAGCAUCAGGUAACAUCAAAUCGUACCCCAAACCGACACAGGUGGUCAGGUAGAGAAUACCAAGGCGCUUGAGAGAACUCGGGUGAAGGAACUAGGCAAAAUGGUGCCGUAACUUCGGGAGAAGGCACGCUGACACGUAGGUGAAGUGAUUUACUCAUGGAGCUGAAGUCAGUCGAAGAUACCAGCUGGCUGCAACUGUUUAUUAAAAACACAGCACUGUGCAAACACGAAAGUGGACGUAUACGGUGUGACGCCUGCCCGGUGCCGGAAGGUUA
rnacentral:rRNA from 1 species